GUGGGUAUAACUCAGUGGUAGAUCCCAUGCUUGCCAUGCACAAGGUCCUAGGUUCAAACCCUAGUACCUCCA
rnacentral:tRNA from 1 species